rnacentral:rRNA from 1 species
GAUGAACGCUAGCUACAGGCUUAACACAUGCAAGUUGAGGGGAAACGGCAUUAAGUGCUUGCACUUUUUGGACGUCGACCGGCGCACGGGUGAGUAACGCGUAUCCAACCUGCCCCUUACCAGGGAAUAACCCGUUGAAAGACGGACUAAUGCCCUAUGCAGUCCUUUGACGGCAUCAGAUUAGGACUAAAGAUUCAUCGGUAUGGGAUGGGGAUGCGUCUGAUUAGCUUGUUGGCGGGGUAACGGCCCACCAAGGCAUCGAUCAGUAGGGGUUCUGAGAGGAAGGCCCCCCAAAAGAGAACUGAAACACGGUCCAAACUCGUGGGGGAGGAGGCAGGGGGGAAUAUGGGGCAAGGGGCCUGGACCUGAACCAGCAAAGGAGCGGGAAGGACGCCGGCCCUGUGGGUUGUAAACUGCUUUUAUGGGGGGAAAAAGUCACCCACGUGGGGGGGUUGGCAGGUACCGAUGGAAAAAGGACCGGCAAAUUCCGU